rnacentral:misc_RNA from 1 species
AAUAAUAAAAAAUUAAUUAAAAAAAAUUUUAAAAGUUGGACGCUACUAUAAGUAGCGUCUAACCUUUAAACUUGAGAGCUGGACGUUAUUUUGAAUAGCGUCCAGCUCUUCUUUCACAUUUUUGACGCGGAUACUAUUUUGAAUAGCGUGCGGAUCUUAAAAAUACUAUUAUAGUUAGCGUCCCACACUCACUUCAUUCAACUCAGCAUAAUUCACUCAUUUUUAAUAAUUAAUUCUAAAAUCACCCU